rnacentral:rRNA from 1 species
UGCCCGGCGCGAAACUUUACAAUGCGGGAAAUUGUGAUAAGGGGACACCGAGUGCCAGCAUCAUAUGCUGGCUGUCCAGGUGUGUAAAAUACACCUGUUAGCAAGGGCCGGGCAAGACCGGUGCCAGCCGCCUCGGUAACACCGGCGGCCCGAGUGGUGAUCGUGAUUAUUGGGUCUAAAGGGUCCGUAGCCGGUUUGGUCAGUCCUCCGGGAAAUCUGAUAGCUCAACUAUUAGGCUUUCGGGGGAUACUGCCAGACUUGGAACCGGGAGAGGUAAGAGGUACUACAGGGGUAGGAGUGAAAUCUUGUAAUCCCUGUGGGACCACCUGUGGCGAAGGCGUCUUACCAGAACGGGUUCGACGGUGAGGGACGAAAGCUGGGGGCACGAACCGGAUUAGAUACCCGGGUAGUCCCAGCCGUAAACGAUGCUCGCUAGGUGUCAGACAUGGCGCGACCGUGUCUGGUGCCGCAGGGAAGCCGUGAAGCGAGCCACCUGGGAAGUACGGCCGCAAGGCUGAAACUUAAAGGAAUUGGCGGGGGAGCAC